CUCCCUUCCCCCUCCAUCUCCCUCCCCUUCUUCUUCCUCCCUCUCCUGGGGAUUCACAGCUUGGACCCCCUGCAUGACAAGCAAGUGCACCAUUACAGAGAUACAGUUCCAGCCUUCCUGUGGGGUUGAUUGGUCUGCAAGUAAAUGUUACAAUGAUGUUAACAACGUUGAGAGAGGUGGAGAUUUGAAGGUGAAGAACACACUUUGCAGCAGCAGUGCAAGCCAAGAGAGCUGUGGUUUUUCGAAUCAACAGUUUCCUAACAUGGGGUGCUGCAAACCAAGAUACUGAGUUUCACGGGCUGAUAUCCUGCUAAAGGGAUGUGUAGUGAGAGGGCCAGCCAGAGCAUCUGACUCCAGUCCUGCUGUGUUAGACUCUGGGACUGCUCAGGGUCUCAGCACAUCUGUAAAGUAUUCACAGCUGCCAUCUGAGCCCCCAUGAAGAGUAACCAUGCCAUUUGUUCUCCACGCUCGGCUGCAGUCUUCAUCUCCAUGUCUGGGGUGAGAAUGGCACCUGGUAGGGUUCAGAGCACCCUGGUGUGAAUAAGCUCCAUCUCUGGGGUUGGGGGGGUGCGGGGGUGGGGGUGGUGUGUGUGUGGGGUGCUUAGCAUUUGUCUCUUGGAUGUGAUUCAUGGUCCUGAGUACCUGUGACCCUGCCAUCCACCUGACUGGAGUUCUCCACCUUGGCUGAAUCAGAAUGCCCAAGUUCAUCUUGUACAGCAUCUCCUUUUCUCCAUUCACCCUCCCAAAGGAGCAGGCCAGAGGGCUGGCUAGCCACUUCACUGAAAAUAGAUGUAACUAGAGUUUGUUGGCACAGCUGUUAUAUUUAGCCUAAGAAUUUUGUAAAAUGUGCAACUGAACCCAUGUCCACCCACCACUUCUGAAAGACCCACCAGGAGUAGACAAGCUCAUCUUGUCCUUGUGAGAGCUUAUGUUGUUUUGCUUGAGCUUUCUCAUUUCCUGAGACACUGGGGAAGUUUGACCUAGUGUUACCUUUUUUUUUUCUUUUUAAUAUAUUUUAUUGGAAAGAGAGAAGGUCAUGUUGUGUCACUAAGCAACGUGAAUGGGGAAGCAUGCCCAGGAAGGCUUACUGAACAAACAGUCUCAUGAUGCAGAUAAGAACUGAGAUCUUGCCCCUUUCCCGUGUCUUCAACAGCCAGGCUGAAACGCUAGCCUAGUGUCUGAAUGUGUUGCAUGAUGGGACCAGCACCAUUCGUGGCCUUAACUUUGACCUUAAGAGGCAGGGAAGAGAAUGCCAGCAAGCCAGCUGCUUGAUGAGAACAGCAGUGACGAGAAUGACCGGUGCCAUUUUUGUUAAGUGAGUCAGCCAUGUGCUGUUUCUGGAAUCUCUGUUUCAUAUAGUUACAAUAGGAUUUUGUUCUUUGGCUCAAUUUCAAAAGGCUACUUGACUAUUUUUGCCUGUAAUUUGAAAUAUUGCCUGGCUGUUUUUCAGUAUAAGGAUUGCUUAAGGACAGAGAGCUCAAUCUGUGGGUUUAUUUUCUUAUUUAAAAAAAAAAAAAAAAAAAAGAAAAAAAAAAAGAGGGCUGACCCAUUGUCAUCACACUGAACAAGCUCCAAGGCUGUCCUGGAAUUCAUAGUUAAUAUGCAAAACCCAAAGAGCCUAAGUAACAACUUUCUCACAGCUCAUUUUUUUCCUCUGCAGAAGUAAACAUGGAUGUAAGAAGAAAAAUAAAGGGCUGGGAUGUGGCUUAGUUGGCA
rnacentral:lncRNA from 1 species